ensembl:snRNA U2 U2 spliceosomal RNA
AUAUCGGCCUUGAACAGAAAGAUCAAGUGUAGUAUCUGUUCUUAUCAGUUUAAUAUCUGACCACAUCACAAACCGGGGACCAUAUAAAAAUUGAUUUUUGGAACAGGAGAUGGAAAAGGGGCUUGCCCGUGUCCACUGAUGCAUCGACCUGGUAUUGCAGUACCUCCAAGGAGUGCACCCCUC